CUGCAAAAGUGUUAUGGUAUUUCCCUCCUAUACCUAGAUUUAGGCGUUUGUUUCAGUCCUCACAAACUGCCAAAGACUUGACUUGGCAUAUAAAUGAGAGGGAAAUAGAUGGUAAGCUUCGACAUCCAGCUGACUCACCGGCAUGAAAGUUAGUUGAUGAAAAAUGGCCUACCUUUGCUUUAGAGCCUAGAAAUCUGCGUCUUGCCCUAUCAGCUGAUGGCAUUAAUCCUCAUAGCUCUCUUAGUAGUACGUAUAGUUGCUGGCCCAUUCUUCUUGUAACAUACAAUCUUCCACCCUGGUUGUGUAUGAAACGAAAAUUUAUGAUGUUAUCCUUAUUAAUUUCUGGUCCACAACAGCCCAGUAAUGAUAUUGAUGUGUACUUGGCACCACUAAUAGAGGACUUGCAAACUCUAUGGGAUGUUGGUGUGGAAGCUUAUGAUGCCUACAAAAAAGAGUUCUUCAAUUUACGGGCUGUACUAUUGUGGACUAUAAAUGACUUUCCCGCUUAUGGGAAUUUGGCGGGUUGUACAGUUAAGGGUUAUUAUGCUUGUCCUUAUUGCGGUGAAGAUAUUCCAAAAUGUAGACUUAAACACAGUAAAAAAAAUGCUUAUAUUGGCCAUCGCCGUUGGCUUCCUCAUGAUCAUCCCUUUCGAACUCAAAAGCAACCUUUUAAUAAUAAACAUGAAAGAGAGCCUCCUCUGAAACCAUUGAACAGUGAGGCCAUUUUUCGAAAGGUGGAGAGUAUUGUAAACAAAUGGGGUAAAGUGAAAGAUAAAAAGCGCAAAAAAAGAGGCGAGAAAAAGGAUGAUGAUGACGAUCGUGUUUGGUGGAAGAAAAAAUCAAUAUUCUUUAAGUUAGAGUAUUGGAAGUACUUGCUUAUUCAUCACCAGUUAGAUGUUAUGCACAUUAAAAAAAAUGUUUGUGAAAGCAUCUACGGAACAUUACUAAAUAUCCCGGGAAAGACCAAAGAUGGGAUUAAGUCGAGGUGAGAUCUAAAAGUUUUAAAGAUUAGGCAGAAAUUGGCACAUGAUGUUAAAGAAAAUAAUCGUACUUUUUUGCCUCUAGCUUGUUACACCUUGACCAAAGAAGAAAAGAAAAAGUUUUGUGAAACAUUAAAAAGCAUAAAGGUUCCUGUAGGUUAUUCUUCAAACAUUAAGAACCUAGUGUCAAUGAAAGACUUAAAACUGUAAGGUUUAAAGUCUCAUGACUGUCAUGUUCUCAUGCAACAACUUUUACCUAUUGCUUUAAGGUCUAUCUUACCAGAUCAUGUUAAAUAUACCAUUAUUAGAUUGUGCUUCUUCUUUAAUUCCUUAUGCGCAACGGUUGUUGAUGUGACCAAACUUGACCAAAUGGAAGAAGACAUUGCGCUGACCUUAUGCUUGCUGGAAAAAUGCUUUCCGCCAUCCUUUUUUGACAUAAUGAUCCAUUUAACCAUCCAUUUAGUUAAUGAAGUUAGACUAUGUGGGCCGGUAUACUUAAAAUGGAUGUACCCAUUUGAGAGGAACAUGAAAGGCCUAAAGGCUUAUGUUCGAAACCGUAAUAACCCUGAGGGAUGCAUAGCUGAGAGUUACAUUGCCGAAGAGGCUCUGGAAUUUUGUGCAGAAUAUGUUUCAAACAUGCGUACAAUUGGGCUUCCUCCUGGACAUGUUGAAACCUCUUCAAUUGAUAAGCCUUUGCUUGGUGGAAAAUUUGAGCAAGUUGAUCAUUCCUUAAUUCAUCAAGUGCACCUGUAUGUAUUGCAAAACACAGAAGAAGUUUGGAGCACAACCGCACCUUUUCAACUUGGCUUAAUAAGAAGGUUAAUAAUAUAUGUUCCAUUAUAUAUUCUUUUUAGUAAAGUUAUUGUCAUGUUUAUACAAUUAUUCAUUCAUUACGAUUAUUAUUAUGUAGGUAUAUGAGAUGAUAGAUGAUGAUGAAGAUGUCUCAAACAUCUUGAGGUGGUUAUCUCAAGGACCUCGUCCUUUCGUAGUUAAGCACCCAGGAUAUGACAUCAAUGGGUAUCGUUUCCAUACUCGGGAAUGAGACGAACAACGAGUUCAUCAAAAUAAUGGAGUUAGUCUUAUUGCAGCAACUUUACAAGUAGCAAGUGCCAAGGACAAAAAUCCUAUUCUUGGUGACAUGUCUUACUAUGGAGUUAUUAACGAAAUAUGGGACCUUGACUACCAUAUGUUUAGAAUCCCUUUGUUCAAGUGUGAUUGGGUUCAAAAUAAUGGGGGUGUUAAAAUCGAUGAAUUUGGCUUCACUUUAGUGGACUUAAAUUGCUUGAGUCAUAAAUCAGACCUAUUUAUAUUGGCUUCACAAGCAACACAAGUCUUUUAUGUCUCUGAUCAACUUGAUAAAAAAUGGUCAGUUGUAAGUCAUAUGCAUUGUAGAUGUGUUCCAAAGAAGACAAGUGCUGAGGAUAUAGAUAUCAUGAUGGAACACAACCCUCUGACCAAUGGGUUACCAAAUAUUGAAAAUUUAAAUGAUGCGGACAGAUAUGCAAGAGAUGGCAAGCAUGGCAUAUGGAUUGAUGCUUGAAAAAGCUGAUGGCAUUUACUGCUUGUAUGUCUUAUAAUAGUUUUAUGUUACGUUAUCUUUUAUAAUAGUUUUAUGUUACGUUAUCUUUUAUUAUUAUAUGUUCCUUGUAUUGACUUUAGAUUACCUUUUUUGACAUUAUUUAUAUGUUAUAUAAUGUUCUAAUACUAAAUGUGCAUUUAUUGCAGGAGCAACCUUAUGGAUAAAGGAAAAGGACUUGCUUAUGAGCUCUCUAACGAGGAAAGUAUUGAUUAUUCGGGUAAUGAAGAGGUUCCUGAUGAAGAUAAUUCAAGGGAUGAGGAGGUUCCUGAGGAGGUUCCUGAUGAUGAGGAUGAAAAUGAUGUUCCGAAGAGCAGUUCCACUGUGAGAGGACCAACUAAAAACUCUGGCAGGAUGAGGAUGAGUGGCGGGAAGCUUGUAGUGAGGUACAAUGGGCUCGGUGUACCUGUUGGCCCUGAAGCUACUGAAUUAGCAAGCUUUAUUGGGCUGUUGGGCCGUACUUCUAUUCUAGAUAUUAACCAAGAAUGGAGAAAGAUUACUCCAGAUUUAAAAAGCCGUUUGUGGGAGUUUAUUAAGGUAAAAUGAUUAUUUAUAUUUAUAUAUCAGAAUUGAAUAAUGUAUAUGUUAAACUAUUUGAUCAUUAUGCUAUGUAUUUUUCUCAGGAACGUUUUAUUGUUCAUCCAAAUAGUAAGAAGCAAGUUUUCCAAGCACUUGGUAGUGCAUUCAGAAACUUCAAGUACUUGCUCACCACAAAGUAUAUCUUGCCACACAAGCAUAAUCGUAAAAGGCUGAAGCGGCCACCUUUUCAGUACAGUCAUAUUCCUCAAAAUGUUUAGGAUAAAUUUGUGAAUUCUAGAUUGUCCACUGAGUUUGAGGUGAAUACUUUUAAAUGAUAAACAUUUAGACAUUUCAUAAAACCAUCUUUAAAUCUAAUUAUGGAUUGUUUUAUGUAGAGAAUUAGGCGUCAACAGCAAAAUAAGAGAGCUAACAACAAGUGGAACCAUCGUUUAAGUAGAAAAGGAUAUGCUGGAUUGCUUGAUGAAAUUGUAAGUACUAUGAUACUAACUUGACCAUUCUUGUAUAACUAUUGGUAUAGAGAUGGUUGGUUUGAUGAUGAUAAAUUGGCAAACCUUUUGUUUUAAUUUACUACUUGCAAUUCAUGGUUAGUUAAGGAUGCAUACCAGCUGUAAUAUUAUUAUUUUUUUACAGGUUCUGUUGGAAAAAAAUUGAUAUUCAUCAAUAUGAUUAUUAUGCAAUUAGGAUGCACUGGAAGAGAAAGCUAAAAAAGGAGAAUUUAAAGCUGAUGCAAGAAAUGAUAUUCUUGCACGUUCAAUUGGAAGGCCUGCCACUUCUAGACAUAUGCAGGGUGUUGGGAAAUUUAUAUCGCCUAAAAUGUACUUUGACACCCCAAACAAUUCAUUUCAGAUGCGACAAGAGCGACUAAACAUACUAGAGAGGUUAGAUAAGCAAGAAGCAGAGUUGAGUGAUCUGAAGAAGAAGAUUAAAAAGCAACCUCGACAUUCAGAUGUUGGAAGCUCAAACUUUCCAUUAGAUGAGCAAACAAUUGAAGAUGAAGCUGAAGAAAUGACUGCUCGUAAUGAGGACAAGGUAUGAUACAGAUUGUUGUGCACAGUCAAGUUAAAAAAUGACUUAAACAUUGGAUUUUAGACAAUUUUAGUCGUAGUCAAAACCGUAAUAACAAACUUUUUUUGUUUGUUUUUUGGCUUGUCAGUCAAUCGGCAUGACAAGGAAUGGAUCACCUGCAAAGAAGAAGCAUGAAACGUUGACAAAGAAAAGGCAAUCACCAAGGAAGAUGAAUGAGUCAGCAAAGAAGCAAGUGACUGCUGAUUGUCCUGGAGACAAACUAGAAACUCCAACGAAAAGGCAAUCACCAAGGAAGAAGACGGAUUCACCAAAGCAGCAAGUGAUUGUUGAUUGUCCUAGAGAAACCUGAAACUCUUAAGAAAAGGCAAUCACCAAGAAAGAAGAAGGAAUCACCAAUGAAGCCUCACAAGAAACCAAGAAUGACUCUUGAUUGUCCAAGAGACAAACCACGCAGUCCAAAGAAGAAGACAUCACCAAAAAAGCCUCAAGAGAAGCCACUGUCAAGAAGAAGAACAAGGAAUUAUCAUAUUGUGCAUAUGAACCGUUCGCUUGGGCUUGUAAUAUUUGGAAAUCUUUAUGAAAAGAAGUUGGCUCAAAUGGGUUAUUACGUACCUUAUCAGUUGGAUGAAGAGGUAUACAAGCAUCCAACAAAAGCACAUAUUGGUCUCGAUAAAUGUCAAUCAUUGAUUUCGAUGAAAGAGCUAGGAGCAAAUCAUAUGCAUCUAUACAUCGCGUAAGUUUACAAAAUCAUAAUUACUAGUUUAUUUUCAAUUUUUAGUUUAUUGCUUCCUUUCUCUGGUUUCUUUUUUUUUAGUGAUAUUUUUUAUUGGCAACAUUCUCACUAUUUCAUCAUCUUAAUUGCAUCAGGAUGUUGCAUGCACACAUGGCGAAUGAUAUAGUGGGCAGACCAUUUGGGUUCAUACACACAGGACUCGUAUCAUCAGCCCAUGAUAAGGAUGCCUUUGCUACAAGGGUAAAAAGGGCACAAUUUAUUGCCGAACGGUUGAACAAAGCAAAUAAAGGGCAAAUGAUUUUCAUGCCAUAUAACCCUGGGUACAAUUCUAUUUACUUUAUAUUGAUGAUCAUUUACUAAAACUGAUUCAUAAUUUCAAUUUCUUUGUGUAAUAGUUUCCAUUGGGUGUUGAUUGUAAUUGAUAUGACGACAAAGCAAGCAUUUUAUUUGGAUUCUACGAACAACGAUUUGGGUGACGACAGUGACCUGAAGGACAUAGUUACCAAGUAUGGUGAUAUUGUAUUUCUAAUAUAAUUUUAUAUAUCAUGUUUAUUUACUUACUGCAUGUAUUAUAAUGUAGUGGGAUAUCAAUGCAUGUUGCGGUGACUGGUAAAAAAAAGGUGAAACCACAGAUCACAAAAGUUUUGGUAAGCAAUCAUGACUUUCUUUUUUCUUCUUUUUUUUUUUUUGGCAGCGCAUGACUUGUUAAUAUUUAAUCACUUGAAAGAAUUCAUGUGCAUAUGUAUUAAUGAUUAUUCUGUUGGUGAUAUAGUCCCCAAAUCAACCAGGGAGUACUGAGUGUGGAUACUAUGUGCUGAGGUUUAUGAAAGACAUAAUUGCAGACCCGAGUUUACUUCUCCAUGAUGUAAGUAAACAUUCUUUCAGAUGCAUUGUCGGAUUACUUCACUUAAUACUUUUAAUUUAACUAUAUAUAGUUUACUUUAGUUUGACAUGUGAUCAUCAUUUGACAGUUUAAAGGGAAAUGUGAAUACACUCAAAGUGAGCUUGAUGAAGUGCGUCUCGAGUAUGCUUCCUUUGUGUCUGAGCUGAUAGUAUGAGCAGUGGAGUUGAUGAUGAUAUUGUUUGAUAAAGUCUAAGUGGCAGUGAAUUUUGUAUGCUAGUAUUGUUCCAGAUGAUAGUGAAUCUUGAUAAAGUCUAAGUGGGUAAUGAUCCAGAUGGUAGUGUUGGGAUGUAGAUUUGUGAUAAUUGAAUAGAUGAUGUUUUGACAAUGUUAUGGUUAUUUCAAGUGAUGAUUUAGUGAUGUUUUGAUAAUAUUGUUGAGAUAAUUUGGAUGUAUUGAUUUUAUACAUAUUGUGAUUUUUAAAUUUCAAUGGAAUUUAUAAAAUUAUAAAAUAAUAAUAUUAAUAAUAUUAUUAUUAUAAAUAUUAAAAAUUUAUGAUUUCUGCUGUACCGUACAUCCGCAGCAGAAUUAUUUUCUAAUUUAAAAAUAUUAAAAAUGAUUUGCAAUAUUAAUAUUAUUUAAAAUAUUAAAAAUUUCUAAUUUUAAAAAAAUUAAAAAUUCUUUUAAUAAUAUUAUUAUUUAAAAAAAAUUCACAUCGUGACACCAUAUUAGCAUCAUAAAGCUGUGACACAUAAUUACGCGCCAUAAUUUAAAAUUGAAUUAAUAAUACCCGCCAAAUAUUUUUUCACAAUAAAACAAAAUUACCACUAAAAUAUUAAAACGACGUUGCUUUUGCUGUGACACAUUUGUGAUAGCUAUAAGCUGUCACAUACACUUAUGAUAGAUAAAUUACUGUCACAGAUUUAUGAGAGGGGCUACAAUGACAGAUAGAAACUCUGUCAUAAACAGGGUCGGAUGACAGAUAUUCUCUGUCAUGAUAGCCCAUUUUUCUCUGUCAUGAUAGCCCAUUUUUCUAGUAGUGAAUUUCUUUCAAUUUAAAAAAAAAAUCUAAAAUUAAAGCCGUUAAAUCACCCUAACAUUAAAUGAAUACUUCUAGGAUUGAGAAACACUUUGUAAAUUGAGUUCAUUUAACAUUAAAUGGUUUCUAUUUUAUUGAUUUUUCUUAAAUUUUUAAUUAUCUGGCUGUAUUUUGAGUGUGGGUUUUGAUACCCUUAAUUAAACACCAACUUUCAAACUGUUAAAAGUCAAAUGAGUGAUAAGUAUCUUACCAUCAUAAUUUUAUUUGAGACUGAGAAAGAUAUGUAGGUCAUGGCCUUCAGGCCUGGCCAAUCAAUGUGGAAAAAAUUUAUAAAAGAUAAGGGUCUGCUUUGAAAUUGAACUGAAAAAUUUAGCUAUUGACCCCACUAGAUUUACACUUUAGCCCCAUAUGGUUCCGCUCUUGCUUGUAGUGAUUUUAUCUUUUUGUAACUUCGUAUAGAAUUAAAUCUUUUUAUCAAAAAAGCUAAAAAAAAUAGAAAUUCUUACUCUAAGAUACGUUUACUAGUUCUUCCUCGGAAACAUGAACCCUUUUGAAACUUCGACCUGUCUUUUGUUCCCAAAGCGAGAUCAAUUCAAGUUGUGAUAUAAUAUUUGUUUGCGGACGAUAAAUCACAAUUCAAUUGCAUGUUCUUGGAUCAUUUAUCACUUUGAUUGUACAAUUAACUAUAUCUUCCUCGUAAUUGAAGACAGCUGAAAUAGAUAAAUAGAUGAUAUAACAUCAUAAAGAUAUUCAACAAAUGAACUUUAAGUGUAAAUUGUUUUUCAAUGUGUGGAGUACUUGUGCAUUGGGAAAGUAUACAUGCCUUUUGCUUCACCAUUUCCAUAAACAACAACAUCAUCAUGUGGCUCAGAUGGAUGAAGCAAGACAUUCACCAAGUAAGCACCAUAGCAGUUUGCUGAGACAAAGGUGUAGGGAAUUUCAGCUGCUUCUAUUGCCCUUCUUACUAUUCGUUUUUUCUCCAAGUAAGCUUCAAAAGGAGGCAGAGGCAUUACCCUGUCGUCUUCACAUCCAAACUCAGAUGGAAGAAACCUCUACCGGCCAAAACUUAGUGUGUUUUAAGAUCAUGUGCAAUAUAAAUUUUAUAAAAUGUAGCAUUGAACUGUAAUUUUAAUAUUAAGACCCAAGUCCAAGUUUGAAUCUCAUAAAAUAUGACACCCAGAACUCCUAAGAAUUGGCCAAAUAUACUCAUGGAUUCUCUUAAAUUCGAAAAAUGUCCACGGAAUUUCCUUUGACUGAAUAUUUCAUAAUAUCUUUUACUAUAGUAACCCCAAAUAUUGACUUUAUUUUUUUAAUAAAUAUAAUAAGAUAAUAUACAGAGAGUAAAUACUUGUUUAAUUUUAUAUUUUGAGUCAAGUGUUCAUUUAGUUUUUAUAUUUAAAAAAAAUCUCAAGACAAUCCCGCUAUUAAAUAAACUCCUACACUUACUUUUCUUUCUUUUUACAAUAAUACCGUAGGAACAAUAUUCUUUGAGAUGUUAAUGAGAAGAAAAAAAUAAUAAAUUAUCAAAUUAACCAUAAAAGUAACAAAAACAUUUACACAAACUUUUAUAUUAUUAUUUUACUAUUCAAAUUAAUUGGGUAAAUUAAUUUUUUAUAAAUAAUUGUGUAAUGUAACAUUUUUAACUAUAAUGAUGUUUUGAGGUAUUUUUUAAAAAAAAUAGAAACUAAACGGGUGCUUAGGUUAAAAUAUAAGGAUUAAACGAGUAUUUACCCUAAUAUAUAUUUAUAAAUUUUUAUAUUAAAAUUAUUAAUAACGAGACACAUUUUAUUAUUAAUACUAUAUCUAAAUUUAGGAAAAAGGACAUUAACACCUUCAUGCUUUAGUAAAAGGUCAUGGAGACCUUUUAUUUUUAGAGAUAAUUAGACCCGGAAAAUUUGUCCGAUAAAAUGGUCUCUUUACCAAAAGGAGUAUGACUGAAAAUUUCUAGACCAUUCACCACUAAAUUAGAGUUUGUGAUUUUAAGUAUUUUAUGCUAAUUGACACUAACUAGCCUUCGUGUUUUCGGUUUUUUGCAGCUAAUUAUCAUUCCUUAGCUUCAAAUCUGCAUUUAUAAAGUGUCAAUAUUUACGUAUGAAAAUUUUCUAAUGCUUCGGAAAAACACAACAAAAGCUUUUUCAAAAGGUAGAGAGUUCAAAGUUCAAACAAAUACCUUGAUGUUACCAGCAACUUUGAUUGCAUCAACAAUUUUCAGUUGAUCAAGAAAUUGGGGAUAAGCUACAGUAGAUAUCACGACAUCUACUUGUUGGAGAAAAAUCAAUUUUUUUCUAUUUUUAUAAAAAAAACCUUUUUAAAAUCGUUCUCAUAUAAUAUAUAAGAAUUUGUAAUCUAGAAAUCGUACCUUGAAAAUCCGAUUUAGAUUUUUCCACUGAAGUGAUUUAGGCUCCCAGAUCACGAUCCGUCACCACCACGCUUGUUAGAUCACGAACUGUCACUAAUGAUCUUCCAGGUUAUGACUCAGGUUUUAUCUGCAUUUGACGUGUGGGCGCCUUUAUCACUACCAAAGCAACUAGCACGAGAAAAUUUUUCUCUCAACAAUAGAGAGAAAAAUCUUUUUUUUUUAUCUGUAUAAAGUGGCUGCUCUCAUUUUCUUUAGAGAAAAUAAGCCUUUUUAUAUCUCUCUUUAGUGAAAACCAUAGGCUCCAAAUAAUGAAAAUCAAAACUCAAGUUACUUGCUUUUUCUAUAGGGGACCCACCUUGUAAAAUAACAUAAGGCUCCUUACACACAAGCUAAUUAAAUGGAGCCUCCCACUAAAUGAUAUAUUUAGGCUUUUGACCCAAAUAACUAGUUAUCUUGCAUAUUAAUCCAGUAGUGCUGCAGUUAAUUAAAUGAGUUAACCCGGGGAUCAUUUGGGAACAUACAAUAGUGGCUAUAACAAUUAAGUCUGUAAUUAAACUAGCCUAAUUAUUUAAUUCCAAAUCUACAAAAGAUUGGAAUUGACCUCCAUAAUUGUAUGCUCGAAUAAUAAUUCGUCCCAAGCCACAUUGGUUUCUUUACUGCACAAUCCUUUGUACCACAUCAUUAAUUAAAUCGAUAUCUCAACUGUCCAAUAAAUUUAAUUACAUCUUGUUCCUUGAUACUUACUGGUUUUCUCUAAUGAUCAUUUUAAAUAUAACAAAUUUAACAUCGGUUAUUUAUAAUAAAAAUAAUUUUCAGGAGAUUAAAGCUAAAAUUAAAGCUGGUGUGUAUGCAUAUGUUUUUAUAUGAAUGAUACUAAAAUUUAUUUGAGAGAGAGAGAGAGAGAGCAAAGAAUUACCUGCUGUACGGCCAAGGCGGAUGUACGGUACAGCAGUACAUCAAUAAAUUCAUACAUGAUUAAGACAAAUCAUUUAAUGAAUUUAUUACAGUCUAUACCUAAAUAAAGUGCCCAACUUUAUUUAUCAACUGUGAACUAAAUUUAUUUAAUCAUAAGAUAACUUGUAUUUAUGUUUUUUGUGAAUCCACAUGGUGAUCACAUAAAUACAUAUAAUAUGAUUAAAUGGACUUUAAUAAAAAUAUUAAUGCAAUUAAGAUAUUUGAAUAAAAUACCUCAUUUAUUUUAUUAAUCAGAAAAAUUAUUUAUUACAAUUAAAUAAACACAUAUGCUUUUAAAGAGCAUAUUUUCCCAACAAUCUCCCACCAGCUCUCAAAGCAUAUCUGGCACAUUGCACAUGCUCUAGGGCUCUAAGUGCAGGUUAUAAAGGUUUCCCACUAAUGGAUGUUGAGUGUUAGAAAAUGCAUAUUUAUAAAGGAGAAAAUCGUCAUUUUACAUUUCACGUCUUACUAACAACCCUUACUUUUAUGUAUUUAAGCUUCUUGUAAUUUAAUUAUGUGUGUUUUAUUUUAAUUAAGUAUUUUAUGUAUUUUAGGGGCAUCAUAGUCAUUUCACAAUAAACGAGAGAUCAAAUGGCAAAACGGACAUCACUUUUGAACUCAGGACGGUCGAAAACCUUAGGAGCAGCAUAAAAGAAAAAAUGGCACUGUUCACAUGUACGGUACUAUCACAUGUACGGUACGGUCUACAUUACUGUUCACGACACUGUUCUCAUAGACGGAUCGAUGACGUGGCAGCCACCUCUAAAUGACAUUAUUCACAUGUACGGUACUGUCUACGUUACUGUUCACGACACUGUUGGCAUAGACGAAUCGAUGACGUGGCAUUGACCGAUGAUGUGGCAUUGACUGAUGAGGUGUCACGAUCCUGUUGGACUAAAAUUCUUAUGCAAUGUUGAUCGAUGACGUGGCAGCAUAUCAAUGGACCAAAAAUCUCACGUAUGGUACAUGCAAUACACAGGAUUAUUUUCAACCAAACCGCGUUACUGUUCAAAACUGGCCAAACCAUGUUACUGUUCAAACCGCGUGUUCAAACUGCGUACUGUUGACUGAUGACGUGGCGCAAUCCUGAGCAUCCAAAUUGUUUUUAAUCCGAUGGCCAUGAUUUACUCAAUGUAUCUAUAAAAAGGGGGCCUCCCCCCUAAUUUGAUAUCUCUGAAUCUAUUUUUGGACUCCAUUUUCUGUAAUUCCUUCUCCAUCUUGUAUUUUCUACGUAUUUUAAUAAAUUUUUAUUUUGCCCCUAGUUCAAUUAUGUGUGGUUAAUUUUCUUUCAAGCUUGGAUUGAAGGUGAAGUCUCAACAUGUGUCAUGAGCUUUAUUUGGUAAAUUUAUUUUCUCUUCCCCUCUAGUUUUUGUGGAUGUUUUGACUUCUCAUCGACAAAUAAUAAUAUUCUUGUCUAGAUACCGCCCUGGUUUCACUGGCUUCCUAGUACAAGGUUAUUAUUAUUUGGCACGAUAAGCCCUUAGCACCAUAUUGAUUAGAGUGUGGCUCAUGAGAUGUGGAUUCCCCCCUCAUGAUUUAAUUGACAUAAAUAAGGAAUAUUUAGCCCAUGGUGCAUGUUGAUACGGAUCCAAAUACCCAAGUGCUUCAUUUCAAUAAAUUUAUCUUCAAUUUAUUCUUGCCAUUUUAAUUUGAGUUUUAGAAUAUUCCAAAUCAAUUUCACCAAAAAUCUAACCACCCAUUUACAAACUUAAUUCUACACACAAUUAAAAUCCACCUCCUCAUGUGAUCGACACUCGUCACCAUUAGUCUAUUCUACAAUAGAUUUGUGCGCUUGCGAGUUCAAUAAAAUUUGCACAACAAGCGGUAGCAACUAAUUCUCGAUAGAUUGGAUAUUCUUUCUCGAGACCAGCAGCAGCUACGCUCUCAGUUUCAGACUUUUCAGAAGCAAAGCAUCGAUCAGCGGCUUGUGCUUAUUAUUGGAUAGCGGACACUCCUUCGUUAUUUUGGCUAUGACCCUGGCAGUUCAUCCUCACCACCUCCAUUUUAGUUCUAUUCUUUGUCUUUUUGCACAUACAUUUCAUAAGCUGAGGGCAUAUUUCUUUCAUCUUGGUGAGAGCAUGUGAUAUCAUUUCUUUAUUAUUUUCUCUCAAUUAUCAUUCAUUGCAGUGACUAUUUUUAUUGGGUAUAAUUUCUUUAUGAGAGUGUCACUAUAUCCAGUGAGAUUUUAGGGUUUAACAUGUCAUUCUUGAAAGUAGCUGUGACAAAGUCUACUGGUCUGAUUCAUGUGGAUGGUUGAUGUGAGUGUGAUGUUUCUUUAGACUGGAGAUAAUGCUUAUACUUUUAUUUGAUUACUAUCAUUAGUCUGAUUAAAUAAACAUGAUUGUUAAAAAUAUAUAUAUAUUUUGGAUUUUGAAUUUUGUUUUCGCUUUAUUUGCCAGGGACUAGCAAUAAGCUGGUUGGGGGGUGUGUUGAGUAUUAGAAAAUGUAUAUUUAUAAAGGAAAAAAUUGUCAUUUUACACUUCAAGUUCCACUAACAUUCCUACUUUUAUGUAUUUAAAUUUCUUGUCAUUUAAUUAUGUGUGUUGUAUUAUAAUUAAUUAUUUUAUGUAUUUUAGGGGCAUCAUGGUCAUUUCACAAUAAACGAGAGAUCAGACAGCAAAACGAACAUCAAUUUUAAACUCAGGACGGUCGAAAACCUUAGGAGGAGCAUAAAAAGGAAAAUAGCAUUGUUCACAUGUACGGUACUAUUCACAUGUACAGUACUAUCUACAUUACUGUUCACGACACUGUUCAUAUAGAUGGAUCGAUGAUAUGGCAUGGAUCGAUGACAUGGCAUGGACCGAUGAGGUGUCACAAUCCUGUUGGACUAAAAUUCUUAUGCACUGUUGAUCGGUGACGUGGCAGCAUAUCAGUGGACAAAAAAUCUCGCGUAUGGUACAUGCAUCACACAGGAUUAUUUUCAACCAAACCGCGUCACUGUUCAACCCGGGUCAAAUUGUGUUACUGUUCACCCACGUGGUCAAAUUGCAUACUGUUGACUGAUGAUGUGACGCAAUCCUGAGCGUUCAAACUGUUUUUAAUCCGAUGGCCACGAUUUACUCAAUGUAUCUAUAAAAAGGGGGCCUCCCCCCUAAUUUGAUACCUCAGAAUCCAUU
rnacentral:lncRNA from 1 species